rnacentral:rRNA from 1 species
AUUGAACGCUGGCGGCAGGCCUAACACAUGCAAGUCGAGCGGCAGCGGAAGGAAGCUUGCUUCCUUGCCGGCGAGCGGCGGACGGGCGAGUAAGGUAUGGGGAUCUGGCCGAAGGCGGGGGAUAACCACUGGAAACGGUGGCUAAUACCGCAUAAUCUCUAAGGAGCAAAGUGGGGGACCGUUCAAGCCUCACACCUUCGGAUGAACCCAUAUGAGAUUAGCUAGUAGGUGGGGUAAUGGCUCACCUAGGCGACGAUCUCUAGCUGGUCUGAGAGGAUGAUCAGCCACACUGGGACUGAGACACGGCCCAGACUCCUACGGGAGGCAGCAGUGGGGAAUAUUGCACAAUGGGCGCAAGUCUGAUGCAGCCAUGCCGCGUGUAUGAAGAAGGCCUUCGGGUUGUAAAGUACUUUCAGUCGUGAGGAAGGUGUUAAGGUUAAUAACCUUAGCAAUUGACGUUAGCGACAGAAGAAGCACCGGCUAACUCCGUGCCAGCCGCCGCCGUAA